CCCUUAGAUGUUCGGGGCCGCACGCGCGCUACACUGAAGGAAUCAGCACGUCUUUCUCCUUGUCCGAAAGGACUGGGUAACCCGCUGAACCUCCUUCGUGCUAGGGAUUGGGGCUUGUAAUUCUUCCCCAUGAACGAGGAAUUCCCAGUAAGCGCGAGUCACAAGCUCGCGUUGAUUACGUCCCUGCCCUUUGUACACACCGCCCGUCGCUACUACCGAUUGGAUGGUUUAGUGAGAUCCUCGGAUUGGUCCCGGAGCGGCCUCUGGUCGUGCCGGAGUGCCGAAAAGAAUGUCGAACUUGAUCAUCUAGAGGAAGUAAAAGUCGUAACA
rnacentral:rRNA from 1 species